GGCCUCGUAGUUCAGUUGGCUAGAGCGUUGUUUGUUGUACGUGGUGGGUGGGUUCGAAUCCCACCGUGGCCG
rnacentral:tRNA from 1 species